rnacentral:rRNA from 1 species
AACGAACGCUGGCGGCAUGCCUAACACAUGCAAGUCGAACGAGACCUUCGGGUCUAGUGGCGCACGGGUGCGUAACGCGUGGGAACCCGCCCUUAGGUUCGGAAUAACUCCCCGAAAGGGGUGCUAAUACCGGAUAAUGUCUUCGGACCAAAGAUUUAUCGCCUGUGGAUGGGCCCGCGUUGGAUUAGCUAGUUGGUAGGGUAAAAGCCUACCAAGGCGACGAUCCAUAGCUGGUCUGAGAGGAUGAUCAGCCACACUGGGACUGAGACACGGCCCAGACUCCUACGGGAGGCAGCAGUGGGGAAUAUUGGACAAUGGGCGAAAGCCUGAUCCAGCAAUGCCGCGUGAGUGAUGAAGGCCUUAGGGUUGUAAAGCUCUUUUACCCGGGAUGAUAAUGACAGUACCGGGAGAAUAAGCUCCGGCUAACUCCGUG